UUAUGGCCAUAUCACAUUGAAAAACCUGUUCCCGUAUGAUCAACAAAGUUUAACAACAUUGAGCCUAGUCAGUACCUAAGUGGAUGACCGCUUGGGAAUACCAGGUGCUGUAAG